CCUACGGGAGGCAGCAGUGAGGAAUAUUGGUCAAUGGACGAGAGUCUGAACCAGCCAAGUAGCGUGAAGGAUGACUGCCCUAUGGGUUGUAAACUUCUUUUAUAUGGGAAUAAAAUGUUCCACGUUUGGGAUUUUGUAUGUACCAUAUGAAUAAGGAUCGGCUAACUCCGUGCCAGCAGCCGCGGUAAUACGGAGGAUCCGAGCUUUAUCCGGAUUUAUUGGGUUUAAAGGGAGCGUAGGUGGAUUGUUAAGUCAGUUGUGAAAGUUUGCGGCUAAACCGUAAAAUUGCAGUUGAAACUGGCAGUCUUGAGUACAGUAGAGGUGAGCGGAAUUCGUGGUGUAGCGGUGAAAUGCUUAGAUAUCACGAAGAACUCCGAUUGCGAAGGCAGUUCACUGGACUGCAACUGACACUGAGGCUCGAAAGUGUGGGUAUCAAACAGGAUUAGAUACCCUUGUAGUC
rnacentral:rRNA from 1 species